CCUACGGGUGGCAGCAGUGGGGAAUAUUGCACAAUGGGGGAAACCCUGAUGCAGCGAUGCCGCGUGAGUGAAGAAGUCUUUCGGUAUGUAAAGCUCUAUCAGCAGGGAAGAAAACGUCGGUACCUGUUUUAGAAGCCCCGGCUAACUACGUGCCAGCAGCCGCGGUAAUACGGAGGGGGCAAGCGUUAUCCGGAUUUACUGGGUGUAAAGGGAGCGUAUGCGGUGAUGCAAGUCAGAGGUGAAAGCCCCGGGCUCAACUCGGGAACUGCUUUUGAUACUGUGUGACUGGAGUGCAGGAGAGGUAGGCGGAAUUCCUGGUGUAGCGGUGAAAUGCGUAGAUAUCAGGAGGAACACCGAUGGCGAAGGCAGCUUACUGGACUGUAACUGACGUUGAGGCACGAAAGCGUGGGGAGCAAACAGGAUUAGAUACCCCGGUAGUC
rnacentral:rRNA from 1 species